UUUAAAGACAACGAGCUUUGAAGGAAAGCAAAGAUAUCAUUUAGCUGAAGGCUGACAUGGGAUCAGAGAGCACUUCUGUUUGGUGGAAAAGGGGUAAACUGUUUUCCUUUAAAUAAAACACUUGAAUGCUGCUUAUGAUAACUCAGGAGAAAGCAAAAUGUAAACAGGCAGUGAAGAAAGUUUCUAAGAAAUGUUCUAAGAAGUUUCUAAGAUGGUACCACAGGAAGGAAUCUAAAAACACAUGAAGGAUCAGGUCUUUCCUUCAAUGAGAAUCAUUUCCUUCAUUGUAAAGAAAGGAGCUAAGGCAAAAACAGGAACAAAUUCAAGAAAAUUCUCAGAUUCAGAAGUAGGAAUAUAAAUCUUCUAUUUUAUCUGUGAUAAAUGAGACCAGGGCGGGGGAGGAGAAGCAAAAGCACAGGGGAGAAAGUGAAGACUGAGUGGAGAACUGAAGAUACUCUGAAGAAAAGCAGCUAUUUCCAGAGGUAGAAAUCAUGGGGUGGGGGACAAGCUUUUGGAAAUGGGAAAUGAGUCAGUUGAAUAAAGAUCAACUUCUGAAGAAAUCAUUAAAAGAAAGGCUGUGGUGGUAUUUUCAGUUUGCAAAUAUAUAUAUACUUUUUUUUUUUUUUUUUGCUUUAAUGGCUGUACCCGCAGCAUAUGAAGGUUUCCAAGCUAAGGGUUGAAUUGGAGCUACAGCUGCUAGCCUACACAGCCACAGCCACUACAGACCUGAGCCAAGUCUGCCACCUCCACCACAGCUCACAGCAAAGCCAGAUCCCUAACCCACUGAGCGAGGCCAGGGCUCAAACCCGCAUCCUCAUGGAUACUAGUCAGAUUCAUUUCCACUGCACCACAGUGGAAACUCCUCAGUUUGCAAAUAUUAAAUCCUGUCAAGAGCCAACUAGGUCUUCACAUCCCUUGAUCCAUAUUCCUUCCACCUAUCGGAAUUGAUUCCAAAGAAAUAACCUUUCAAAGGAGAAAACUACAGAUAGUGUUAUGUAUAAAAUUACAGUGUGAUUAAUAACAGGGAAAAAACCUAAAUGACCAUGAUGGUUAGUUUUAUAUGUCAAUUUUGCACUGGUACAGUGUACAGUUGUUUAAUUAAACACUAAUCUAGGUGCUCCUGUGAAGGUAUUUUACAGAUAUGGUAAACAUCUACAUUUAGUUGACUUUAAACAAAGGAGCCUAUCCUUCAUAACUUGGGUAUGCUUCAUCCAAACAGUUGAAAGGCCUCAAGAGCUUCCCUACAAAAGAAUUCUACCGAUUCUGUUUCUCAGUAGGACAAUGACAGAUACAAUGGUUUUAGGCAAAUUAUGGAAUAUCAUCUUAAGUUUUAUAAUGAACACUAAAGAGUAACAUGGGGAAAAUGUUUAUAAGUCAAGGGGAAAAGGCAAACAACAAACUUAAGUCUACACUAUGGUUAUAAUUAUGUAAAUAAGUAUGUUUACAUAUAAGAAGGAAACAAAACAGUUUAUUCAUUUGAUUGAUGGAAUUGUGCCUGAAUUUUAAAUUUAUUAAGUAUUAAAAAAUAGUUUGUUAAAUAGAGCUCUGUUAAUUUUAAUGGAAGAAAGUAACAUUAUAAUGUGUUAAACCUGGGAUUCCCGACUAGUAUUCAUGAGGACAUGGGUUCGAUCCCUGGCCCUGCUCAGUGGGUUAAGGAUCCAGCAUUGCCGUGAGCUGUGGUGUAGAUUGCAGACAUGGCUUGGAUCUGGCAUUGCUGUUGCUAUGGUGUACGCCAGCAGUUGCAGCUUCGAUUCUCCCCCUACCCACCUAGGGAGCUUCCAAAUGCUGCAGGUGCAGCCCUAAAAAGACAAAGAUAAUAAUAAUAAUAAUGUGUUAAAUCUUAUAAGAAUUACAUGGCACUUUAAACAAACUCAUAACUGGCACUCCCAUCGUGGCUCAGUGGUUAACGAAUCCGACUAGGAACCAUGAGGUUGCAGGCUUGAUCCCCCGUCUCACUCAGUGGGUUAAGGAUCCGGCGUUGCUGUGAGCUGUGGUGUAAGUCACAGACGUGGCUCAGAUCUGGCAAUUCUGUGGCUCUGGUGUAGGCCAAUGGCUACAGCUCCGAUUAGACCCCUAGCCUAGGAACCUCCAUAUGCCACAGGUGCAGCCCUAGAAAAGACAAAAUUUUUUUAAAAAAAAAAAAAAAGACAAAAGAAAAACCUCAUAACUAAUCUAAAAGAAACCUGCCACUUUUGAAAUGUUGCCUUGGAAAUACUUUUAGAAAAAAGGACGCUCUGGAAAGCAAAUAUGCCUAGAAGGGCCUGAAUCCAAUGCUGUUUUUCAGUAACAUGUAAUUCCUCAAUUCAAAUGAAAUGAAAGACCUAGAAUGGCAAAGUAACUGAUGAUCAGCCUAAGAACUGUUCACAUCCAGAGUUCCCGUUGCAGCUCAGUGGAUUAGGAUCCCAACUAGUAUCCAUGAGGAUGCAGGUUUGAUUCCUGGCCUCGUUCAGUGUGUUAAGGAUCCAGUAUUGCUGCAAGCUGAGGUAUAUAGGUCACAGACGUGGCUUCGAUCCAGCUUUGCUGUGGCUGUGGUGUAGACCAGCAGCUGCAGCUCCAAUUCAACCCCUGGCCUGCUAACUAGCUAACAGAGCGAGGCUUCUUCUCUCUUCCCCUUUCCCAAUACCAGACACCAAAAGGAUUAUUACAUGUGUGCUAAACUUGAGUAAAGAAGUCACAUAGCCCUCAAAUAGUCACAUAGACCUGAAAGCUUGGUCCACUUUCACUCAAUCAAAAAACUUACAGGACUUCCUGUGUGGCUCACAACCUAACUACCCAGCAUUGCUUCUACAGUGGCUGUGGAUGGACCCCUGGUUCAGGAACUUCCAUAUGCUGCAGGUGAAAAAAAAAAAAAAUUUACAGAGGAAUUCCCUUAUGGUGCAGUGCAUUAAGGAUCUGGCAUUGUCACUGCAGCAGCUUGGGUUCAAUCCCUGGCCCAGCAACUUCCACAUGCCACAGACAUGGAAAUAAAAAAUCUAUGGAGUGGCUACUAUAUGCUAGGUACGGCGACUACAAUAGGAAGCAAAAAAAAAGACACUUUUUGUAUUUUAAGGAAAAGUACUAAAAAAAAAAGAAUUUGCAGACAUCAGUACACUUCACUCUUAAACAUGUUAGCUCAUACUUUUAAUUACUAAUCAAAUAGCAUUAUUUGAUUAAUGUCUGUCUGCCCUACUAAAGCUCAAAAGAAUCUUUUUUUUUUCUUUUUAGGGCUGCACUUGCAGCAUAUGGAAGUUCCAGGGCCAGGGAUCAAACCAGCCGGCCUAUGCCACAGCCACAAUAACACGGGAUCUAAGCCACAUCUGCAGUCUAUGCCACAGCUUGCAGAAAUGCUGGAUCCGUAACCCACUGAGCAAGGCCAGGGAUUGAGGCCAUAUCCUUAUGGAUACCAGUCAGGUUCUUAACCCAUCGCGCCACAACAGGAACUUGUCUGCAACUUAGUGUGAUAUGCUUCAACAAGAUGGAUUGAUGAACAGAUUAAGGGAUGGAUACUCAAUAAAGUAAACACAGUAAAAUAUUAUAGAAUCUAAAUGAGUAUAAGAAAGCUCACUAAACAUACGCCCAUCCCAAUAUUUUAUUACAAAAAAAUUUUGGAACACACAAAACAGUUUUUAAAAAGUGUACUGUGAGAUAGUUUAAAGAGGAGUUUUGGGUUUUGGUUUUUUUUAAUAAAAAAUUCAGAGUUCUACUUAGUACAGAUAUCCAGAGGCAGUCUCAAAACCACUUGAAAAUCUGGAUUAAUCAAUUUAUUCCUCAAUAUCUAUUUGCUUGUUUGUUUUAUCUGACAAUGACAGAAAACACUCUAUACUCAAGACACUAUAGUAAAAGUGCUGGUUGAUGUCCUCAUUCUAGCAUGGGGCAGGGGCAGUCACUAUUUGUCUCCAUCUAUAAAUUCAGAUUUAUUAAUCCCUUCUCAGUCUCUCAGGAUUAACGAGGAUACUGCACAGGGUAGCAUUUUGAAAAGGUCUCUUCCUACCACUCCAACUUUAUCUCAUACCAUUUACUUUUGCUCCCCAUGCACCAGCCAUAAUGUCCUUUGUUUAGUUCCUCCAUGGUGAACUAAAUCAGUACUAUCCAACAGAAAAAUAAUGCAAGCCACUGACACAAGCUACAUAUGUAAUUUUUUUUUUUUUCAGCCAGGCCCAAAGCCCACAGAUGUUCCCAGGCCAGAGACCAAGACCGAACCCAUGCAACAACACUGACCCAAGCCUCAGCAGUGGCAAUGCCAAAUCCUUAACUACUGUAUAUGUAGGGAACUCCUAUAUAUGAAAUAUUUUUAAAGAUUUUUAAAAGUUAAAAAAGAAAAGCAAGUGAAAUUAAUUUGAAAAUAUAUCUUUGGCUCAGCAAGUUAAGAACCCGAGGAUAUGGGUUCGAUCCCUAGCUUUGCUCAGUGGGUUAAGGAUUGGGUGCUGCUCUGAUUCAUCCCCUAGCCCAGGAACUUGCAUAUGCUGCAGGUGCAGCCCUACAAAGAAAAAAAAAAAAAGAAAGAAACUACAUUUAAUUCAAUUUAUCCCAAAUACUAACAUUUCAACAUAAUUAACAUAAAAAGUUAAUGAGUUAAAAUUUUUUCAUUAGUAAGUCUUCAAAAUCUGAUAUGCAUCUUAUACUUAUAGUACAUCUGUAUGUGAACCAGCCACAUUUCAACUGCUCAGGAGCCCCACCGGCAGUAGAGCAUAAUAGCUCUAAACUUUUACAUACUUGUAAGGGCCUUCAUGAACUUAAAAAUGUUCCCUCUGCUGAUAUGCUCUACACUCUAUUCUCCGAAUGACUAAUAUCCACUUAUCUUGCGUAUCUUAUUUUAAAAGCAUCAUCUCCUCAAUAAGGCCUUCCUGUUAUCACCCUAAAAUUCUCUACACUACUCCUUUAUCUUUUGUAGGACUUAAAAAAACCUGUAACUGCUUAUUUGCAUGUUUAAUGCUUUUCUCUGCAUUCCUCGCUGGAAUGUAAGCUUUAUUAAGAACAAGGACAAGGACUAUUUUUUUUAUUGUUUAUGAUAGUACCCCUAGUACUAAGCACAUGUUUGGCACAUAGGAAGCAAUCAACAAAUAUCUGUAGACUAAUCAACGAAAAGAUAAACAGAAGCACCAUAGAGGUGCAUUAGGUUUGUAUGCAUGUGAAAAUGUGUAUGUUUCCCCUACUCUGCCAGCCCACACAUAAGAAUAUUCUCAGCAGCCAUUCCCAAGUGGCCUGGGACCUUUACAGAGUAGUUAACUAAAGCCAGUCUCUGGCAAGUGGCAGUGGAUAGAAGCAAUGUGAUUUCUGGAAAGAGAAUGAACCGCAAAUAGUUUUUAAAGUUCUCCAAGGAACCAGGAAUUUAUUUAAGUCAAGGGAAAAUGAGGGAAGUGCUACUGGUCAACGUCUUGGGCAGUGACCAACUGGCCAGAGUUGCAGGCAGUAAAAGAGUUCAUCCAAAUCAGGUCAGCAUAGAGAAAGGCAGAUUACUGAGUACACUGCAAGGGAGCAGCAGGCAACGCCACAUAAUAAGAGCUGUCUGCACAAAGACAGCCGUUUGAGGUUGUUACGGAGGGAAAUCGGUUUCCGGAAGGCCCUCUCUCUCUCGCCAUGCAAAUGAGGGCCUGAAACAUGGCGGUCUGGGCUGGCUGAUAUUUGAGGCCACUCAUUGGUCGGUUGGAGGUUAACACAAAAUGGCUUUUGUCAGAUUAGAUGGCUCCCACAGUCAAGGCAGUACCCAAGUGAUGAGAAACCAACACGAGAUGUGAAGACAGAACAUGGAUUAAAGAUUCCAAUUUGCAAAUUCCCCACUCCAUUACCACGGACAAGUCAUUUAACUUCUUCCCAUCUGUAAAAAUAUGAUGCCUUAAGGACAGAAUUAAAUGAGAUUGUAUCUCAAAGUGUUUUGAAAACAGUAAAACCUAAAUAUAUAUUGUCCCUAGGCUGCUUAGGAAACUUUCAAAAGUCUACCAUAAUAAAUUUUUCCCCUUUACUCAUCUAGUUUCUUGUUUUAAGUUACUUUGCAGAUUACACACAGAUAACUUGUUGAACCUAUCAAGCAAAAUCUACUCAGAUACCAAAUAAAAAUCUCAGACUCCAGACUGGCCAGGUAACUCCAGAUGGGAAAAUAAUCUUAAAUGGAAGAAAACACUAUAAAGUCAUAAUUCUCCAACAU
rnacentral:lncRNA from 1 species